rnacentral:rRNA from 1 species
GACGAACGCUGGCGGCGUGCCUAAUACAUGCAAGUAGAACGCACAGUUUAUACCGUAGCUUGCUACACCAUAGACUGUGAGUUGCGAACGGGUGAGUAACGCGUAGGUAACCUGCCUGGUAGCGGGGGAUAACUAUUGGAAACGAUAGCUAAUACCGCAUAAUAUUAAUUAUUGCAUGAUAAUUAAUUGAAAGGUGCAAUUGCACCACUACCAGAUGGACCUGCGUUGUAUUAGCUAGUAGGUGAGGUAACGGCUCACCUAGGCGACGAUACAUAGCCGACCUGAGAGGGUAAGCGGCCACACUGGGACUGAGACACGGCCCAUACUCCUACGGGAGGCAGCAGUAGGGAAUCUUCGGCAAUGGACGAAAGUCUGACCGAGCAACGCCGCGUGAGUGAAGAAGGUUUUCGGAUCGUAAAGCUCUGUUGUAAGAGAAGAACGGGUGUGAGAGUGGAAAGUUCACACUGUGACGGUAUCUUACCAGAAAGGGACGGCUAACUACGUG